CCAUAUAGAGCAAGUUUCUAAGAAAUACUUGUAGGAGUCAAUUAGGAUUGAGGACAAUAAUUGAGUAUUAUGUUUAGGAACCUAGUUUGACCUAGUCUCAUGAUAAUUGUGCUUUGAUGAUGUGAAUAGUUUACUAGUUAAUUAUAUUUACCGUCAUACAGCUUCCGCAUGCAUGGCAUAGAGUGCUAAUAAUGGUUUCCAUAGACUAUGAGUUAUUUUUCACGUACUUUGGUCCUACCACUUAGUCAUGAGUUCCAUAGCCUCUUGGGUUGACCAAGUACCUUGUAGGGACAAAUGGGGUGCAACCCAUAUUCGUAAACUAACCAACAGAAGUUAGGGUCUACUUGUUACACAUGACUUAGUUGUCACCCAUAAAGGAUAUCAAUAGUCAUAGAGAGUAUACUACUCAAUUCAUAUCAGUGGUGCCUAGUAGGAGUGCCAUGACCUUUUUACUGACCCAGCUCGAGUGGUGUAGUGACAUGUAAUUUUACUGUUCUAGCCUGGAAGAGUGUAGUGAUAGGUAGUUUAAUGUUCUAGCCUGAAAGAGGCAAAGUAAUAGGUAGUUACUGUUUCUAAGAUGGGUAGUUUAAUGUCCCAGCUUGGAAAGGGUAUAGUGACAAGUAGUUUUACUGUUCUAACCUGCUGAGGGUACAUGGGCAGGUAAUUACUGUUCUAGCCUGGAAUGGGCGUAGUGACAAGUAGUUUACUGAUCUUAGGAACAUGUAGAUGUUGCCCGACACCAUUAGGGAGAAUCUACUAAUUAGAGCUCAGUAGGGAGAUAGGUAUGGAGUACAGUCACUGUUUAGAGCAGAAAGGGCUCUUUCCAUAUUGAUGGGUAUUACCUUAGGCCUUUUCAUGGGCGGGUGACUCGAGGUACUCCUCCCACAAGACUGAUGAAGGACCUAGACAUACGUGACACCUAGAGCCAAGAAAACAAAAAACCCUCGGUUGUGAACAUGAGAGGGAUUGAGUACUCCUUAAAGGAGGUACGCUGAGGGUAGUUGUACAGUGACUACCAAGUUUGGUAUAGCCGUUUAGCCACAGUUUGGGUGAUCGUUA